UUAUUAAGGGGGGAUCAAGGGGGGAUCAACGCCCCCCUUAUUAAGGGGGGAUCAAGGGGGGAUCAACGCCCCCCUUAUUAAG
rnacentral:tRNA from 3 species